GCAUCACUGGUGUUCGGGUUGUCAUGCCAAUGGCACUGCCCGGUAGCUAAAUGCGGAAGAGAUAAGUGCUGAAAGCAUCUAAGCACGAAACUUGCCCCGAGAUGAGUUCUCCCUGAGACUAUAAGUCUCCUGAAGGAACGUUGAAGACGACGACGUUGAUAGGCCGGGUGUGUAAGCGCAGCGAUGCGUUGAGCUAACCGGUACUAAUGAACCGUGAGGCUUAACCUU
rnacentral:rRNA from 2 species